rnacentral:rRNA from 1 species
GACAGAGGAGGCAAGCGUUAUCCGGAGUCAUUGGGCGUAAAGGGUACGUAGGCGGCUAGUCAAGUCUGAGGUUAAAGACCACAGCUUAACUGUGGGAAGGCCUUGGAAACUGACCGGCUAGAGUGGGGCAGGGGUUGCGGGAAUUCCCGGUGUAGCGGUGAAAUGCGCAGAUAUCGGGAAGAACACCUGAGGCGAAAGCGCGCAACUGGGCCCUGACUGACGCUGAGGUACGAAAGCUAGGGGAGCGAAUGGG